GAUUGCAGUCUGCAACUCGACUGCAUGAAGCCGGAAUCGCUAGUAAUCGCGGAUCAGAAUGCCGCGGUGAAUACGUUCCCGGGUCUUGUACACACCGCCCGUCACACCAUGGGAGUCGGAAAUGCCCGAAGCCGGUGGCCUAACCGAUAAGGGAGGAGCCGUCGAAGGCAGGUCUGAUGACUGGGGUGAAGUCGUAACAAGGUAAC
rnacentral:rRNA from 1 species